ACGCAACCGUCCCUGCCCCUUAUCCGGCCACUCCCCCAUCCCCUACGCCUCAACCCUCCCGACGCCAGCUCCCCAGAUCCGCCCGUGCGUCCACCUGCCGCCACCACCGCCGCUCCUCUCGCCCAUCGGCGUUGCUUUCCUCCUCUAGUCCUCCAGCCGCUCCAGAAAAAUCCUUACUGGAUCCCCUGCACCCUCUCUUCUUUUGACCGCCUACCCUGAUAUCAGUCUCUGCACUCGAUUCCCCACCUCUGAGCGCCGCCACUCCCCUCUAUCCUCGACUCCUCCGACGUGCGCCUCACAUUCAGCUCCAACGACGGUCUCUCCCUCACGUUCUGCUUGUACUGCCAAAUAUUCAUUGCGCAGAGCGGGUUCUUCACCGCCAAGCUCUCAGAUCGCUGGUCCAAGAAGCAGCGGUCAUCGCUCUACGACUACGACGAUGUGGAGGUACACCUUGAGACUCUGUUCCUCAUCUGUUGCAAGGAUCUCUGCAGGAGGCUGAUGAGGAAGGUUGUGGGCAAGGUUCUCUGCAUCUCUGCAUUUUAAUGGCAAGGGUGCCAUUGCCUAAGAUUAACCGAUGGCUUUGACGAAGGGUGCCACUUCAGUAUUCUUCAGAGAAUGGGAAGCAAUGUUGGAGGUAGUCGCAAAGAUGGGAGCGAUAUCUAUGGUGGUGAGCGUAAUAUGAGGCCAAAGAGUAGAACAUAUUUCUCCAUGUGAUUCAACCAACUGAAGUUCUCAAGCUGGAGCCUUGAUGGUGUUUGAUGUUUUUUGUAAAAUUAUGUAGUCACUAUUUCCUCUUUUUUCUUUUUCUUUUGAUGAAUCAUUAAUAUUUAAUGUUAUUUGGAUGCAACUCUUGUUGUGCUUUUGAUACAUUAUGAGAUUGUGCAAAAUAUAAUUCAUCUUUUGUCA